GAAAUAGCCUUCGUGUUCAAAGACUUGUUCGCCGGCGUCACAGACUCACAGUGGGCUGCUUCUUCUUCCCGUCCGACUCGCCGGACUCCGAGUGCUCCUGACAACGACGACCUCGCGGCUCGAGCCUCACUGCCUCAGGACCUGCUCCUGGGACUUGACGAGACGUCCUCCUCCUCGUCCGUCGACUCGGCAUCACAGUCGGACCUGAGCGGAUCCAGUGAG
rnacentral:lncRNA from 1 species